AUUGAACGCUGGCGGCAUGCCUUACACAUGCAAGUCGAACGGUGACGCGGGGCAACCUGGCGACGAGUGGCGAACGGGUGAGUAAUGUAUCGGAACGUGCCCAGUUGUGGGGGAUAACUGCUCGAAAGAGCAGCUAAUACCGCAUACGACCUGAGGGUGAAAGCGGGGGAUCGCAAGACCUCGCGCAAUUGGAGCGGCCGAUAUCAGAUUAGGUAGUUGGUGGGGUAAAGGCCCACCAAGCCAACGAUCUGUAGCUGGUCUGAGAGGACGACCAGCCACACUGGGACUGAGACACGGCCCAGACUCCUACGGGAGGCAGCAGUGGGGAAUUUUGGACAAUGGACGCAAGUCUGAUCCAGCCAUGCCGCGUGCGGGAAGAAGGCCUUCGGGUUGUAAACCGCUUUUGUCAGGGAAGAAACGCUCUGGGUUAAUACCUCGGGGUAAUGACGGUACCUGAAGAAUAAGCACCGGCUAACUACUUGCCAGCAGCCGCGGUAA
rnacentral:rRNA from 1 species